GACGAACGCUGGCGGCGUGCUUAACACAUGCAAGUCGAACGGAAAGGCCCUGCUUUUGUGGGGUGCUCGAGUGGCGAACGGGUGAGUAACACGUGAGUAACCUGCCCUUGACUUUGGGAUAACUUCAGGAAACUGGGGCUAAUACCGGAUAGGAGCUCCUGCUGCAUGGUGGGGGUUGGAAAGUUUCGGCGGUUGGGGAUGGACUCGCGGCUUAUCAGCUUGUUGGUGGGGUAGUGGCUUACCAAGGCUUUGACGGGUAGCCGGCCUAAGAGGGUGACCGGCCGCAUUGGGACUGAGAUACGGUCCAGACUCCUACGGGAGGCAGCAGUGGGGAAUAUUGCACAAUGGGCGGAAGCCUGAUGCAGCAACGCCGCGUGCGGGAUGACGGCCUUCGGGUUGUAAACCGCUUUCGCCUGUGACGAAGCGUGAGUGACGGUAAUGGGUAAAGAAGCACCGGCUAACUACGUG
rnacentral:rRNA from 1 species